ACCUUCAUAUGCUGUAAUAUUCCUAUGAUACUCCAUCCUAGCUCCCUUCCACAAGUUACAUUUGAAUAUCGUCGUGAAAAGGAGAUUAUCAUGAAAACUAAAAUUGUAGGCAGUAUCUUGAAAUUUCACAAAAUGUUCGCCCAAAUCGUCGCUUCUGGAUUUGCAAUGGACUUUUAGAAUACUAUGACUUUGAAAAAGGUUGUUUUGAAAAGCUACAGUGUUUUUAUGACAUUUAUCUUCUUUGGACACACAACACAAAACAAAUAUAAAAAACAGAAAGCUAAAUACAAGAUUCAUUAUUUUGAAUCAAUCUAGUUAAACUUGGGGAGGAUCACAAAAUACUUAUU